GCAGUCGAACGAAGCACUCUAUUUGAUUUUCUUCGGAAAUGAAGAUUUUCGUGACUGAGUGGCGGACGGGUGAGUAACGCGUGGGUAACCUGCCUCAUACAGGGGGAUAACAGUUGGAAACGACUGCUAAUACCGCAUAAGCGCACAGGAUCGCAUGAUCUGGUGUGAAAAACUCCGGUGGUAUGGGAUGGACCCGCGUCUGAUUAGCCAGUUGGCAGGGUAACGGCCUACCAAAGCGACGAUCAGUAGCCGACCUGAGAGGGUGACCGGCCACAUUGGGACUGAGACACGGCCCAAACUCCUACGGGAGGCAGCAGUGGGGAAUAUUGCACAAUGGGGGAAACCCUGAUGCAGCGACGCCGCGUGAGCGAAGAAGUAUUUCGGUAUGUAAAGCUCUAUCAGCAGGGAAGAAGAAUGACGGUACCUGACUAAGAAGCACCGGCUAAAUACGUGCCAGCAGCCGCGGUAAUACGUAUGGUGCAAGCGUUAUCCGGAUUUACUGGGUGUAAAGGGGGCGCAGGCGGUGCGGCAAGUCUGAUGUGAAAGCCCGGGGCUCAACCCCGGUACUGCAUUGGAAACUGUCGUACUAGAGUGUCGGAGGGGUAAGUGGAAUUCCUAGUGUAGCGGUGAAAUGCGUAGAUAUUAGGAGGAACACCAGUGGCGAAGGCGGCUUACUGGACGAUAACUGACGCUGAGGCUCGAAAGCGUGGGGAGCAAACAGGAUUAGAUACCCUGGUAGUCCACACUGUAAACGAUGAUUACUAGGUGUUGGAGGAUUGACCCCUUCAGUGCCGCAGUUAACACAAUAAGUAAUCCACCU
rnacentral:rRNA from 1 species